GGGCGGAACCCACGCGGCGACUUCUCUUGGGCUGAACUGCGCAGCGGGGUUUUGGCCAAAUUGGGCGAGGGCACAAAGUAACCACUUACCCCUUCUCACCGAGGAGGAACGGGAGAAAGGGUAUGGCACUGUCUCAAGGCUGGGUGAAGAGAUACUUCAAGGCCUUUUGUAAAGGCUUCUUUGUGGCGGUGCCUGUGGCAGUGACUUUCCUGGAUCAGGUUGCCUGUGUGGCAAGAGUGGAAGGAGCAUCAAUGCAGCCUUCUUUGAAUCCUGGGGGGAGUCAGUCAUCUGAUGUGGUGCUUUUGAACCACUGGAAAGUGAGGAAUUUUGAAGUACAACGUGGUGACAUUGUGUCAUUAGUUCUCUAGAUAAGGGCCCAGACCAGCCAGCCGGCAGCUUGAUUUUGGCCUUCUGAGACGCUAAGCAGAGUACCCAGCCGAACCUGCCAGACUUCAGUCCUGGAGAACGAUGCAUUUCCCACCAGUCAACACUCUGUGCACUUGUUCUUAGAAAAGAAAUGAUCCUAGAUCCCAUAUUCUGUUUCAUGGCUUAGGUCCCGGAAAUGUGGAAGAAAUCUCAAAAUGAGACUUAAAUAUCACCUUGUUUGAUCUAAGGUCAGUAGCUACCUUGCCACUUUUUUUUUUUUUUUUCCCUUUUACAAGAAAAAAAAAAAGGCACUGUUUUGGAGAGGGGGUGGUAGUUGUUGGGAAAUGUGUCUGUGGCUGAUAAGAAAAGGAAAGGGCUUAAAGCGAUAGCCACCAAACUUUAUCAGUAUUUUGGAGUUAAGGAAAACAUUCUUUCCAAGAAGAACAGCAAUACUUUUUUUUUUUGGUAAUUGUUUAUUUACAUUAAUGAGACGCCUCAAUGACCCAUUAUUAUAAAAGGUAACUCUGCAUAAUCUAGUGACAGGUUUACUCACAUUCGGAGGUCACAUUGAUAUUUACUGAAGGCACAAUAAGUAUAGGUUUCACUUUAUUAAAAAUUGUAUAGCUCUUGAAAUUGCUGACAGAGAGGCUGACUCAGUUUGAUUUGGCGACGGAUAUGAUAAUUGUAAUACGGCUCACUGUGGUUUUUAGAGGUCAUAAGUUACAUUGCAAAGAUUUGUGUAUUUGGAUUGCGGGAAAGUUACCGUAGAGUACUAAGACAAUACAAUAGGAAAUACUUAAGUUUGAGUAGUAUGUCUCACAUAAAUUGUACCAUAGAAUUAAAUAUGAAUCAUUAAAAUAUUCCAGGUUUAUUAAAAAUUUAUUCUACUAAAGGAUCUUUAGAGAGCAGUAAGAACUUGAAGAAAUAAUAGGAAAGCUUUGCUAACAGUGACAGUGUGUCGAGUUGAAAGAAGGUAAAGAAUUUAUUAACAAAAUGCAUACAAAAAAGAUUUGUAGUAAAUCAAGGGGGGAAAUAGUUAAUAAAGAGGCCAGGGAGACCUUCAAGAUGGCGGAAGAGUAAGACGUGGAGAUCACCUUCCUCCCCACAAAUACAUCAGAAAUACAUCUACAUGUGGAACAACUCCUACAGAACAUGUACUGAAUGCUGGCAGAAGACCUCAGACCUCCCAAAAGGCCAGAAACUCCCCACGUACCUGGGUAGGGCAAAAGAAAAAAGAAAAAAACAGACAAAAGAACAGGGAGGUACCUGCACUUCUGGGAGGGAGCUGUGAAGGAGGAAAGGUUUCCACACACUAGGAAGACCCUUCGAGGCGGAGACUGCGGGGUGGUGGGGGGCGCGGAGGGGGGGAAGCUUUGGAGCCACGGAGGAGAGCGCAGCAACAGGGGUGCGGAGGGCAAAGCGGAGAGAUUCCCGCACAGAGGAUCGGUGCCGACCAGCACUCACCAGCCCGAGAGGCUUGUCUGCUCACCCGCUGGAGCGGGCGGGGGCUGGGAGCUGAGGCUCGGGCUUCGGGCUUCGGAGGUCGGAUCCCAGGGAGAGGACUGGGGUUGGCUGCGUGAACACAGCCUGAAGGGGCUAGUGCGCCAUAGCUAGCCGGGAGGGAGUCCGGGAAAAGUCUGGACCUAAGAGGCAAGAGACCAUUGUUUCCUGGUGCGUGAGGAGAGGGGAUUCAGAGCGCCACCUAAAUGAGCUCCAGAGACAGACACAAGCCGCGGCUAUCAGCGCGGUCCCCAGAGACGGGCAUGAGAUGCUAAGGCUGCUGCUGCCGCCACCAAGAAACCUGUGUGCAAGCACAGGUCACUAUCCACACCUCCCCUCCCGGGAGCCUGUGCAGCCCGCCACUGCCAGGGUCCCGUGAUCAGGGACAACUUACCCGGGAGAACACAAGGCGCGCCUCAGGCUGGUGCAACGUCACGCUGGCCUCUGCACCACAGGCUCGCCCCGCAUUCCGUACCCCUCCCUCCCCCCGGCCUGAGUGAGCCAGAGCCCCCAAAUCAGCGGCUCCUUUAACCCCGUCCUGUCUGAGCGAAGAACAGACGUCCUCAGGCGACCUACACGCAGAGGAGGGUCCAAAUCCAAAGCUGAACCCCAGGAGCUGUGCGAACAAAGAAAAGAAAGGGAAAUCUCUCCCAGCAGCCUCAGGAGCAGCGGAUUAAAUCUCCACAAUCAACUUGAUGUACCCUGUAUCUGGAAUCCCUGAAUAGGCAACGAAUCAUCCCCAUUUGAGGAGGUGGACUUUGGGAGCAAAGAUAUAUAUAUUUUUUUCCAUUUUUUUCUUUUUGUGAG